GGCAACUUGGCCGAGCGGUCUAAGGCGCCACGUUAAGGAACACAAAUCCUUAAAACCUAUUCUCUCACAAAAGAAUUCCGUGGUCCGAAAGGGCGUGAGUUCGAAUCUCACAGUUGUCA